rnacentral:rRNA from 1 species
AUUGAACGCUGGCGGCAUGCCUUACACAUGCAAGUCGAACGGUAACGGGCCUUCGGGUGCCGACGAGUGGCGAACGGGUGAGUAAUACAUCGGAACGUGCCCGAUCGUGGGGGAUAACGAGGCGAAAGCUUUGCUAAUACCGCAUACGAUCUACGGAUGAAAGCAGGGGACCGCAAGGCCUUGCGCGGACGGAGCGGCCGAUGGCAGAUUAGGUAGUUGGUGGGAUAAAAGCUUACCAAGCCGACGAUCUGUAGCUGGUCUGAGAGGAUGAUCAGCCACACUGGGACUGAGACACGGCCCAGACUCCUACGGGAGGCAGCAGUGGGGAAUUUUGGACAAUGGGCGCAAGCCUGAUCCAGCCAUGCCGCGUGCAGGAUGAAGGCCUUCUGGUUGUAAACUGCUUUUGUACGGAACGAAAAGCCUUCUUUUAAUACAGGAGGGUCAUGACGGUACCGUAAGAAUAAGCACCGGCUAACUACGUG